rnacentral:SRP_RNA from 1 species
GCCAGGCGCGGUGGCUCAAGCCUAUAAUCCCAGCACUUUGGGAGGCCGAGACGGGCGGAUCAUGAGGUCAGGAGAUCGAGACCAUCCUGGCUAACACAGUGAAACCCUGUCUCGACUAAAAAAUAGAAAAACACGAGCCAGGCGAGGUGGCGGGCACCUGUAGUCCCAGCUACUCAGGAGGCUGAGGCAGGAGAAUGGCGUGAACCCGGUUCACGCCAUUCUCCUGCCUCAGCCUCCUGAGUAGCUGGGACUACAGGUGCCCGCCACCUCGCCUGGCUCGUGUUUUUCUAUUUUUUAGUCGAGACAGGGUUUCACUGUGUUAGCCAGGAUGGUCUCGAUCUCCUGACCUCAUGAUCCGCCCGUCUCGG